GAUCAUGGCUCAGGACGAACGCUGGCGGCGCGCCUAACACAUGCAAGUCGAACGAGCGAGAGAAAGCUUGCUUUCUCAAGCGAGUGGCGAACGGGUGAGUAACGCGUGAGGAACCUGCCUCAAAGAGGGGGACAACAGUUGGAAACGACUGCUAAUACCGCAUAAGCCCACAGGUCGGCAUCGGCCAGAGGGAAAAGGAGCAAUCCGCUUUGAGAUGGCCUCGCGUCCGAUUAG
rnacentral:rRNA from 1 species